GAACUUGGAUAUUGGAGGUUUGCAUUCUUAUUUUUUUCCAAAGUUAUAUUAAAGUUUCAUCUCCAUGAUUCUUUUUCUUCGUGAACAUGAAUUGCUUUUUUUCUUUUCUUUUCUUUUUCUUCUUUUCUCUAUCUAAUUUUUCUUGUAGCCGUUUAUAGAGAUGAAUUUGAAUCAGAACUUGAAAUUGGGUGUUUAUUUUUGUUAAAGAAUGUUUAGGUUAAUUUCAAAUUUAAUCUGAAUAUUUAGGUUACAAUCUCACUCAGACGACGGCGACGUUCCGUACAAUCCCCGCCGCAAAUGUCGCCGAGUUCGACAUAACGACGUCGUUUCUUCGAUUCCUUUGCAACUGAUUCUGAGAAGCUCCGGUCCAAUCAACGGUUUAGGUUUAUUUGCGUUCGAGAGGACGACGUCGUUUCCUCACCGGUUCUCAGAUUUGUUCAUGUUUAAUCAUCAGGGUAAUGAAUUUGUUCGAUUAAUUGGUUGUUUUUUUUUUCAAUUUUCAUCAUCACUAGUUUUUUUUCUCUUUCAGUUUUUCUUGUGGGAUUUUAGGUUUGCAGUUAUACAUAAUACAUCGCCAAAUUUCCAGAAAUCAUUUGGGAGGUGGUGUAACUUUACUCUUUUGAUUUUUAUAAUUUCACAAACUGUAUCUUUCUUUUGCAGUAAGAGCUCAGAAACUACGUAAUCUGAAAUGGGUUUUUCCCAAUCACUCAAAGUAAUACACAUCUGCAUGCAUUGAUAUGCAUUCAAACAUUCAUCAUGUGCAUUCAUACAUUUCAUCAUAUGUUAUUCAUACAUUCAUCAUAUACAUAUGCAUACAUCCACAAUAACAUACAUAUAUUAUAUGUGCUUACAUACAUACCCAACUUACUUCUUUCUUUUUUAGAUUUUUUGUACUUUACUUAUUUACAGCUUGCUUCUUUUUUAUUUUCUGUUUCUUCGUUGAUUCUUUGCUUCUUUGUCCUUAUUUUCUUUGUUGUCUAUUCUCUUUGCUUCCUUCCUUGGUUGUGUGUUUUCUUAGUUUCUUCCUUAAUUCCUUGGUUUCUUGAUUCAAUUGUUUGUAUACCUGCUUGCUCGAUAAGUUGGUUUCUAUUUCUUCUACAACGGAUGGAUCCUGUAAAGCAUCUGACACUUCUUCUCGUGAUAUAUACUUUUACUCAACUGACCUUUUUAUAUCUGCCUUCUCUCUAACUUAUUCAGUUUCUGAAUGCAAGAUAUUACCCCGGAGUCUUAGAAAAACGGCUAGAUCACAUUAGCAGGAUCCACGGAAGUAAGCGUCAGUAGUCCCAAAGAGAUGGCUUGGCUGCUUGCCUUGACCAAUCAGUCCAUGUGACUUAUAAUCUUGUAUCUUUAUUAUUUCAGUGUUUACUAAUUAAACGUCAUAUUGGGCACUGCAAUCAUAAAGUCUGUUUGUCUUGUAGUCGUUCACAUGCCAUUUUCACUAUCACUGUGGAACAAAUGCGCAAGAUCAAUACAGAUUCUCCUGAAAAUGGUAUUUACAAUGGGAGCUUGAAAGAAGAGUAUCUUUGUGCCAAGUUGCACAUAGUGUACGUUGCCGGUUCAGAACGAGCCAAUAGAACUGGUUCUGACGGUAUGAAAGUUAAAGAAGGAGUUUACAUAAAUAAAGGCUUCCUUGCGCUGGGUAAUGUCAUCACUGCGCUUGAAGAUGAGAGAAAGCGUAAAGAUGGUGCUCAUGUUCCUUACAGAGAGUAAACUUACACAUAAAUUAAGCUUGCAUCAGUACUGCAGAUAUUAAUGCUGAGGAAACACUUAACACAGUUAAAUAUGCAAUCCGUGCUCGAAACAUCCGGAACAAACCUGUUGUUAAUAGAGAUCAUGUGUCCAGUGAGAUGCUGAAAAUGCGCCAACAGCUAGAGUACUUGCAGGCAGAGCUUCCCUUACGGAAUGGAGGAUCCUCAUGUGCAAACUCUAGAAACGCUAAUGAAGACCUUUGCCGUGAACUCCAUCAGUGUCGUAGCAGAUAUGCUGGUGUAAAGCAUUAUGAAAAGACUUUAAAGACAUACAAUAUGAUGAAAUCAUCGGUCUCGUCAAACCUGAUGGGCUAAAAAAGAGCUUGCACAGUAUGGAGUCGUCCAAUUGUGCUAUGGUUGAAGCCACAAUAGGUGAUUCAAGGGAAAUAGAUGAAGAGGCAAAGGAGUGGGAGCACAAACUCUUGCAAAGUAGUAUGGAUAAAGAGUUGCAUGAACUGAACCGUUGUCUGGAGGAA